AACCAUUCUCACCUGCGGCUAGACCUGCGGAAGGAUCAUUACAGAGUUGCAAGACUCCCUAAACCAUUGUGAACCUACCUUCUACCGUUGCUUCGGCGGGCGGGCCCAGCGCCCCCCCCGGCCCCCCGCGGGCGCCCGCCGGAGGAUACCCAAACUCUUGACAUUAGUGGCCUCUCUGAGUAUUCUUUACUGAAUAAGUCAAAACUUUCAGCAAUGGAUCU
rnacentral:misc_RNA from 1 species